rnacentral:rRNA from 1 species
UACGUAGGGUGCGAGCGUUAAUCGGAAUUACUGGGCGUAAAGCGUGCGCAGGCGGUUCGCUGUGUCCGAUGUGAAAGCCCCGGGCUUAACCUGGGAAUGGCAUUGGAAACUGGCGGGCUUGAGUGCGGCAGAGGGGGGUGGAAUUCCACGUGUAGCAGUGAAAUGCGUAGAGAUGUGGAGGAACACCGAUGGCGAAGGCAGCCCCCUGGGCCAACACUGACGCUCAGGCACGAAAGCGUGGGGAGCAAACAGG